rnacentral:rRNA from 1 species
CCCGCACAAGCGGUGGAGCAUGUGGUUUAAUUCGAUGCAACGCGAAAACCUUACCCACCUUUGACAUGGCAGGAAUCCUGAAGAGAUUUGGGAGUGCUCGAAAGAGAACCUGCACACAGGUGCUGCAUGGCUGUCGUCAGCUCGUGUCGUGAGAUGUUGGGUUAAGUCCCGCAACGAGCGCAACCCUUGCCAUUAGUUGCUACGAAAGGGCACUCUAAUGGGACUGCCGGUGACAAACCGGAGGAAGGUGGGGAUGACGUCAAGUCCUCAUGGCCCUUAUAGGUGGGGCUACACACGUCAUACAAUGGCCGGUACAGAGGGUAGCCAACCCGCGAGGGGGAGCCAAUCCCACAAAGCCGGUCGUAGUCCGGAUCGCAGUCUGCAACUCGACUGCGUGAAGUCGGAAUCGCUAGUAAUCGCGGAUCAGCAUGUCGCGGUGAAUACGUUCCCGGGUCUU